CAGUUUUUCAUGCUUACACUGAUGGUUCCAAAACUAAUCCAGGAUAUCACAAACACAUUAUGGAAUGGUGCCUAGAGUGGAGCAAAAAGAUCAGAGCCUGAAAGCUGAACAUUCAGUAUGGAUCCAAAAAAACAAGUACCAGGAGUUGGCCUUCAGGAUGCAAAAAUUAGAGAGCAAAAUCAUUAUAAAGGAACAACCCAGAUGGUGUAAUAAAGGAACAAGCCAAAAUAUGAUCAAACCAUGAAGACUAUUAGGUGAUGAACAAAUAUUUAAAAAGAUACCAUGUUUGCUGGAUAAUGGGCAGAAUGAAAGAAACUUUGUGAAACUAAACUAAACUUAAUUCAGCAGUUUCCUGAAGAAAACUGGGUUUGGGAAAUCGGUAGUGAGUUUGGAAAUAAAUUUCAUAUUACAGGAAAGACUGAAGAUUUCCUGAGAUCCAGGACCAUUUCAUAAAGUCCCUGCUACUGGACAUUUACUGGCCUUUCCUGUCACUUAUCUACAUUUACAAUAUAAAUAGAAGAUUCAGCAGAAGGAAAGGAAAGAGUCCUAACAGCAGGUAUGCUAAUUAUUGCUGGAGACCCCUGAAAUAGAACACCCAAUGGUUCGAUUGAUCCAAGAAACUGAGAAGCUGCAUGUCCAAUAGGCUUGAUUUUCCUCAUCAUCUUGAAUACUGUUAUUCAUCAACCAUCCAACAGCAGAGAAACACACACAGAGACACACACCAAAAAUUGUUUGUUGUUAUUAUUGUUGUUGUUGCUGUUGCUGUUGUUGUUAUUGUUAAAAUGGAUCUAAGGCAUGUUCACCAUAUAUGCCUUUGAGAAAUGGGAUUAUUUUACUAAAAAUAACUCAAUGAAAAUAUAUUUAUGGUAAAUGAUAAAGAAACUGUCUAUCAUUGAAGAACAGCAUCCAUUUUGGAAAUGAAAUUAAAACAUAAUUGAGCAAUAACACAUCAGAACACUUCUUGAAGGCUAGUGACAGAACAACAAUGGAAUUAAUUCCCGGGAACUAGACAUAGAAUUAACUCCAGUGAAUCCAAAGCUUUCUGAAGUAUUCUGGACAUAGCAUUCCAAAUGAAACAGGACUGAAUUGGGACUAGAUUAACUCUGAGACACUUUGAAUCCACCUCUGGGCACUUUUAUGCCCAGAAAGACAGGAUCCAUUCAACUCAAAGCAAUCAACAUUUAUAAGAUUUUUCAGCCUUUUGUCACAAUCCUUAUGGUCUUGCUCCAAUUCCCUACAAUGAGAGUUUUGUUCAGUUUGUAAGUGAGGGAGUAAUAAGGAAUUAGUGUUGUGAGCUUUCUUAGGGAACUCCCGUAUUAUAAAGGAUUUUUCUCCUGUGUAAAACCAAAAUGGUUCAAUAACAGGAUUUCCGGAUAAGCUGUUCAGGAAACAGUUACUGUUCAAACUGAAGAGCUGGUUUCAUUUUAAUAUGAACAAUGUCAGUUGUUUGGGGAAUAUUCAGGACAACAGGAUGCAUUCAAAAUUAAACACUGAACUCAAUCCUUGAUUCAUGUUUUAAGUGAACCAAGAAAUAUGAGUCACAGAAAAGAAAGUAGUAUCAGCCUUGAAGUCUGAGAUACUAGAAUGAAAUGAUGAGUACCAGUUUAAAGCUUAGAGGUUAUUUAAAGAAUCCAAGGAUUGAAUAAAGCUUUUUAGUUCUGAAAAAGCUUUCAGUAUUGCAGAAUCUUUGAUGACAGUGCUGUAUAAAACCUCAUUAAUUACAGUAGGACUUAAAUAGAUGGUGAGAAUUGCAGCAUUUAAUAUUUUCUUUCUUUUCUUGCACAAUUCUCUGUUCCCAGUCAUCAUAUUUCUGUUUUUGAGAUGCCAAGGGUUCUUUAUGACAGCUGCCCUGUAAUUUCUUAUCUAA